rnacentral:lncRNA from 1 species
CGAGUCGGGAGUGCAGCCCGACUCAGAGUCUGUCUGGUCCCUCCGCCCCCGCAUUACUUGCCUCCUAUCGGAACGCCUUUCUGGCUUUCUAAGCGUGGACUUCAUUUGUUCAUGGCUUUAACUAACACUUAAACGUGUUCAUUCUUUCUCUUCUAUGUAAAUAUGUGGAGUGAGGGAAGGGAGGAGAGAAGCCGAGAUGCAUUGGAUCUUAGAAUGGUUGUCUCUCUGGCCACACUGGCCCACCCAUCAGAGCACCGGGCGCUUCAUGAAGACCUUUCUCAUGUACCGCUUAGCUUGUCUUUACAACAUCCCUAGGAGAAGCAUGGACAGUUGUUGGCCAGACUGGGGAUUGUUGAAGCAAAGCCAAAUGACAAAAUGGCAAAGCUGCCUUCUUAGCAUGGGCCAGCCUGUGGAUUUUUCUGAACGCAAACCCAUCUCACACGACCUUAAACCCAGUGUUCUGCCAACCUUGACAGUCUACAGAGUCUACUCCUCUGUAAGAAACCUCCCACACUGCUGGGAGGAAUCUGCAAUCACAACUUUAUUGUAAACAAUGCUUUCAGAUGAUGUCUUUUUUUUGUUUGUUUUUUUCGAUACAGGGUUUCUCUGUGUAGCUUUGGAGCCUAUCCUGGCACUCGCUCUGGAAACCAGGCUGGCCUCGAACUCACAGAGAUCUGCCUGCCUCUGCCUCCCGAGUGCUGGGAUUAAAGGCGUGGACCACCAACGCCCGCCUAGAUGAUGUCUUAACAUCCCUGAGAGCAUUUCAAUUUAAAGCCUGAGUCUUGGUUAGGGUUCCUACUGCUGUGAUAAAACAUAGUGACCAAAAGCAAGCUUGGGGAGGAAAGGGUUGUUUUGCUUACUCUUCCAUAUCACAGGGAGUCCUGGCAGGAACCCCAGGCAGGAACUGAAGCAGAGGCAGAGCCGGAGAAGGAAUGCUGCUUACUGGUUUAGUUCCCUACUUAGUCUGCUUUCCUACAUGGUCCAGGACACCUGUCCCGGGGUGGCAUGGCUCUCAGUACACUGGGCCCUUCCACACCAGUCUUAAUCCAAAGAAUGUAUUACAGAUUUGCCUCAAGACAAUCCAAUAGACAUUUUCUAAAUUGAAGUUCCUCUUCCCAGUAACUAACUCUAACUUUGGCUUGUGUCAAGUUGUCAAAAAAAAAAAAAAAUUCUCAGGGGCAAUCAGUAAGCAGAUUUCAGCAUAAAUGGUUCAAACGGAAAGGUCAUUGUGAUGAAGCUCCUGGAGCAAGGGCAGGGGUAAAGAACCAGGGAACUUGAUAUAUCUAGUAUCUGGCAACAGCUGGAAACAGACCACCAAUAGAGUUGCAGGAGGGCUGAGAAAAAUGCCCCCCUUAAACUGUUCAGAGCCACUAACCCUGAAGGGUGUGUUUGCAUCUGUCAGGUGAGGGAUUCCAGGAAAGGCUCAGAACUGCUAUCGAUCCAAAGGGAACUUCAAGGGUGUGGGAGUGGGGUGCCAAGUGAGCAGGACAGAUUUCCCCUCCGUGGCCACACACCACCUUCUUGAGGGCCCGAAGGGCACUUGCAGCAUAUGUGUUCUGAGACAGGUCACAUACAUUUCUCCCAACAUAUACUGGAGAGCGACCAUGAUCAUAAACUAUGAAGACAAAGCACUAGCAGGGUGACACACACCUAUAAUCUCAGCACUUUGGAGGUGACUGCAAGAGGAUCAGGGGUUCAAGGUCAUCGCUACCUUAUCUGUGCAAGGAUGGCUGAUAAUGGGUGUGGCAGGAGUUGGAUAGCUGAUAGUCAAACAUAUCCCACUGUGACCUGGGCCAAGGGUCCUGACAUCUGUGCACCUCUGCCCCAGGAGGCUGGACUGUCUUCUCUGUCUCAGAAAAGGGGAGACAGGGAAGCCCCUUAGGAGCUGCCUAGAGACAACACCUCCCACAGUGGUCUGGACCCUUCUACAUCAAUCAUUAGUCAAGAAAAAGCCCCUACAGACAAGCCCACAGGCCAAUCUGAUAAAGGAGUCUACUGUGGAUACUCACCCAGAUGGGUUGGAUUGAAAAGCAAAGGCAAGAAUGCAAACAUUCCCCACCCAAGGAACUGGAAGACUACCACCUGGACCAGAAGAUAGAAGAUGUCUCUCCAGACAAAUUGAGAGCAGAUUCACCCUUCUUAAAUGGCUCUUUCAUCACCUCCAGGUCAAGUGAGGUCCUUGGAGCAGCCUUUGAGGACAGCUGGAUCCUGCUGAAAUGUCAGUGGCUCACCAAUCAGCUGCCUGGCCUUGGACAAACCUGGGCCUCAUCUAUGAAAUGGCCAAGGAGCUGAAACAGAUGGAGAGGAACUCACUCAAGGUCACACAACUGGCUAGCAAGAGAGCCAGGCAGCCUGCUUCUCAUCGGCAGUCUCGGAGAAUGAGUCAAUGAAUUCGCAAACGAGGAAGCAAGGAAGCAUCCACGGAACUGUACCCGUGUUGAAGGGUCUGACCGGCUGACACUGGUGAGGAUGGCAUUAAUGUUGAUGGAGAUGGUAAGGAAGACAUCCUCCCCAGCCCCUCUGCUUCCAGCUCUCCCGUGAGAGUGCUUUGUUCAGGCACAAGCAUGAAGCAGCCGAUGUUGGGGGAAGAGUCCGGAACUCUGGCUUGCCUCGUGGCAGCCUUCGAUAAACCCUUUGUCCUCUCUUGGCCUCACCCACUACAUACAAGGGAUGGCUAGUGAAAUCAGACUUGGGAGGCCGUUCAGCUUCCACGCCUCAAGCCUCUCCUUUCAGAUGAAGCAAAAAGCAAGAGGCUGAGCUCUGAGGUUCUGGCUGUGUGGUCUCAGGGGGUCCUGGAAAGAUGGGAAGUCAGGGUGAGCAGGCUCCAAGCUUAGUCUAGAAGAUCUUGGAGUAAGGAGUGGGUACAGGCCUCACCCCUGUGCCUGCCUUAAACCAUCCCAACCUUCCCAAGAAGAGCUGGGGCAGAGCCUGGCUCUUGGACUGGGAACUUGCCCAGAGACCAGCUGACUUUUCAUUUUGCAGUCAAGGAUGCAGAAGCUAGGGAACAGAGAGAAUCCCAGGCCCUGUAGCCAUAACAACUCCACCUCUCUGUCAGCCCUUCCCACCACCCUUGCUCUGAAGUCCCAGCAGCCAGGCAAAAGGGUGUGUCCCAAUUCUACGUCACAGAAAGAGAAACUGUGGACCAUGGAGCUGGUCCAGUAGGCUCUCUAGCUUCUCCCUCAGGACCCUGUGUCAUCCUGGGCCACAAGUCAGCAAACCAUCAUUGGGACAUCAACCCAGUGAACCAUGGGUUUGGGGUCAGGCAGUUGCUUAUGACUAAUUCUUAUGUCCAAGGUAUUGAGCUGGUCUUGGGAAAAUGACAAAAUAUGUGUUUUCCUGACUGUCUGCUGCAGCCUCUGGCUCUGAGGAACACCCCCAGCUCCAUCUCACCCCUCAUAAUACUCCUCAGCUCCAGGCUUACCUCUGCUCAGAGUUAGUUGUAUCUUAGAAAUGACUGACGGAGACUUCAUAAAUGGGACUGUGUUGUUUGAAUGCGGUUUAUUUGUCUUAAACUCACAUUGAUAUUUAAAUGGCAUUAGAAGACAGUAAGAGAUGGGACCUUUAAGGGUAAUUAGGGCUCCACUCUCAAGAAUCAUCCACAUGAUCAAUGGAUUAUCUCAAGACCAGUGGUUCUUAACCUUCCUAAUGCUGUAGCCCUUCAAUACAGUUCCAUGUGUUGUAGUGACCAGCCCCCAGUCAUAAAAUUAUUUUUGUGCUUACUUUAUAACUGUAAUUUUGCUACUGUUAUGAAUCAUAAUGUAAAUAUCUGUGUUUCUGAUGGUCUUAGGCGACCCCUGUGAAACGGCCAAAAGGUGUCAUGACAUACAGGCUGAGAACUGCUAGGGUUGAAUCUGCUUAUAUCAGCCACCUUGGCUAGGUCUCUGACCCCAUAAUGUCCUGUGCUACCUCAUGGCUAUUCCAGCAAAAAAA